rnacentral:rRNA from 1 species
GACGAACGCUGGCGGCGUGCUUAACACAUGCAAGUCGAGCGGAGCGGCGAACGGGUGAGUAACGCGUGAGUAACUGCCCCCCUCUCUGGGAUAACAGUUGGAAACGGCUGCUAAUACCGGAUAGUGGGGGAUGACUCGCGUCCUAUCAGCUUGGUGGUGGGGGAGUGGCCGACCAAGGCGACGACGGGGAGCCGGCCUGAGAGGGGGACCGGCCACAGUGGGCUGAGAUACGGCCCAAACGCCUACGGGGGGCAGCAGGGGGGAAUAGUGCACAAGGGGGGAAGCGCUGAUGCAGCAGCGCCGCGGGCGGGAUGACGGCCUUCGGGUUGUAAACCGCUUUCAGCCAUGACGCGGUAGUGGCAGAAGAAGCACCGGCUAACUACGUGCCAGCCGCCGCGGUAAUUC